rnacentral:lncRNA from 1 species
GAUUCCUGACGAGAUUUCCCGACUUCUUGAGCAAGAAAAGAAGAUCACUCAGCUGCAUCUCGAGAAUCAGCAGAACAGCCAACUGGGGCAUUACAAAAAAGAAAAAAAACAAAAAAAAGAAAGAAAGAGAGGAGGGUGCAAAAUCAAAAGAAAUCAAAAGAAAUCCAAAUCAAAAGAAAUCAAAAGAAAUCCAAAUCAAAAGAAAGAAAAAG